CCGUAAUCGGAAUGAGUACACUUUAAAUCCUUUAACAAGGAUCCAUUGGAGGGCAAGUCUGGUGCCAGCAGCCGCGGUAAUUCCAGCUCCAAUAGCGUAUAUUAAAGUUGUUGCGGUUAAAAAGCUCGUAGUUGGUUCUGCGUGCCGCGCUGUCGGUUCGCCGCCUGUCGGUGUUACUGGCAUGUCGCGGCAUGUCCUGUCGGUGGUGAAUGGAAUCCCUGGUGCUACGUAGGCUUUUAUUAGCUGAAGUUUGUACCGUGGUGACUUCAUUUGCCGAUUUCUCCUACUCCGGUGCUCUUAAACGAGUGUCGAGGUAGGCCGACACGUUCACUUUGAACAAAUUAGAGUGCUUAAAGCAGGCUGAAAUAUCUGCCUGAAUAGUGGUGCAUGGAAUAAUAAAAUAGGACCUCGGUUCUAUUUUAUUGGUUUUAGGAAUAUGAGGUAAUGAUCAAUGUGGACUGGCGGGGGCAUUCGUAUUGCGACGUUAGAGGUGAAAUUCUUGGAUCGUCGCAAGACGCACUAGAGCGAAAGCAUUUGCCAAGUAUGUCUUAAUUGAUCAAGAACGAAAGUUAGAGGUUCGAAGGCGAUCAGAUACCGCCCUAGUUCUAACCAUAAACGAUGCCAGCCAGCGAUCCGCCGAUGUUCCUUUAAUGACUCGGCGGGGAGCUUCUACCCGGGAAACCAAAGCUUUUGGGUUCCGGGGGAAGUAUGGUUGCAAAGCUGAAACUUAAAGGAAU
rnacentral:rRNA from 1 species